GUGGGGAAUCUUCCGCAAUGGACGAAAGUCUGACGGAGCAACGCCGCGUGAGUGAAGAAGGUUUUCAGAUCGUAAAGCUCUUUCGUUAGGGACGAACGUGCUCUUUGUGAAUAAUGAGGAGUAAUGACGGUACCUAAAUAAGAAGCCACGGCUAACUACGUGCCAGCAGCCGCGGUAAUACGUAGGUGGCAAGCGUUGUCCGGAAUUAUUGGGCGUAAAGCGCGCGCAGGCGGGAUAUCAAGUCUGUCUUAAAAGUGCGAGGCUCAACCUCGUGAGGGGACAGAAACUGGUAUUCUUGAGUGUCGGAGAGGAAAGUGGAAUUCCAAGUGUAGCGGUGAAAUGCGUAGAGAUUUGGAAGAACACCAGUGGCGAAGGCGACUUUCUGGACUGUAACUGACACUGAGGCACGAAAGCGUGGGGAGCAAACAGGAUUAGAUACCCCGGUAGUCC
rnacentral:rRNA from 1 species